rnacentral:lncRNA from 1 species
AUGACUUUCCACUCUGGUGGAUUCCAGCACCCCGAGACUGCAGGAUCGCUGGCGGAGCGCGGGGGCGGCUUCCUGGCUGCCUGGGUGCACUCUGCCACUCGGGGUCCAGAACUCCGCUCAGCUUACAACUCCUCUCUGUCCUGCAAUACCCCGCCAGGAAUUUCAGGGUUCAGGGUCCAGGCAUUUAACUUUGAGCAAAACUUACGUGCAGAGAACUUGGACCUAUGGCUAGAGGGAUCAAAGGCUCGGGACCAGACUCUGGCUCCCGCGCCAGCAGAAAGUGCAGGCACUGGCCCUGCACUUCCGGAAGUUCUGCCAACUUCACUCUCCUUAGUUUUCCGACCCGCACUCUGCAGCACUCUUCGAGAGUUCGGGAGAAUGAAAUCGCCUCUCAAAACCUCAAGGCUGGGAGAGACAGGAGAUGAAGGAGAAGAGGAGAUGAAGUCGGCCACUUGGCCACAGUCUUGAUUGCCUAAAUUGCUUCUAAUUGGGUGGCACACAUUACUGGAAACGAAGGACGCAUGACAAGCAGCCUUCAUUCUUCCGCAGAUUUAGAUAAUGUCUCUGGAUGAAUAUCAUUUCUGAUCAGGAAAAACUAGAAAACUCAUAAACAGCCCGCAGUUUUCUUUGGAGGUUUGUGCAAUGGUAGGUAUGUGUGUGGGGUGCCCUGACAAUCAUUCAGUCAUGCAAACGGAUGGCAUUUUAUAGAAUGCACCUCAUAGUAAUCCAGCGCCCAUGUUUUUAUCCCAGAUCUACCAGGACACAAAAACUAAGCAUACUUUUUUUUGUGGGAGGGGAGGUCAUUGAAACUCACUUAGCCUUCUUCCUUCUCAUAUCUGCCAAUUGUAAAAGUUUUCAGUAAGCCUCCUUUAAAACAUUACCUCUUUCGCCUUACCCAAGAUUCGGGCGUCCCUCAGCUUCCCUGGUGAGCGAUGCCAGCCCCCAACAGUAGCAGUAAGCAAAGGUCAUUACUACGCAAACUGGUGUGUUCAGGAACUCCGAAGAAUCAGCAACUGGAGGACACCCCGGGGCCAGGGUUCUUGGAAAAGUGAAAGAUGCAACCCCAAACUGAGUUUGCUGAGGCAAAGCAUUUGAAGUGAACUGUUUUCUUCUAAGGUGCAUUCUGUCGGCUCCCGGGUGG